CAGUCGCCGCGGUAAUACGUAGGGUGCAAGCGUUAAUCGGAAUUACUGGGCGUAAAGCGUGCGCAGGCGGUUAUAUAAGACAGAUGUGAAAUCCCCGGGCUCAACCUGGGAACUGCAUUUGUGACUGUAUAGCUAGAGUACGGCAGAGGGGGAUGGAAUUCCGCGUGUAGCAGUGAAAUGCGUAGAUAUGCGGAGGAACACCGAUGGCGAAGGCAAUCCCCUGGGCCUGUACUGACGCUCAUACACGAAAGCGUGGGGAGCAAACAGGAUUAGAUACCCGAGUAGUCCCUGUCUCUUAUAC
rnacentral:rRNA from 1 species